GGGGGAUUGGCGUCGGACGGGCCCGUCGCCAACCCGGUCAGGUCCGGAAGGAAGCAGCCGUAACGAAUUCCGGCCCGGGUCGGCGUCCAAUCCCCCACC
rnacentral:SRP_RNA from 1 species